GGGCAUGUGGCGGAAUUGGUAUACGCGUAUGCUUCAGGAGCAUAUGAGAGUAAUCUCUUGAGAGUUCGAGUCUCUCCACGCCCA
rfam:Parcubacteria (Moranbacteria) bacterium GW2011_GWF1_36_78 TS27_C0012, whole genome shotgun sequence.